CUACUUACCUGGCAGGGGAGAUACCAUGAUCACGAAGGUGGUUUUCCUAGGGUACAGCUUAUCUAUUGCACUCCGGACAUGUUGACCCCUGUGAUUUCCCCAAAUGUGGGAGACUUGACUGCAUAAUUUGUGGAAGUGAGGGACUGUGUUUGUGCUCUCCCCUG